rnacentral:rRNA from 2 species
GACGGAGGGUGCAAGCGUUGUUCGGAAUCACUGGGCGUAAAGCGCGUGUAGGCGGUCCGAUAAGUCGAGUGUGAAAGCCCGAGGCUCAACCUCGGAAGUGCAUUCGAAACUGUCGGGCUUGAGUACGGGAGAGGGAAGUGGAAUUCCUGGUGUAGAGGUGAAAUUCGUAGAUAUCAGGAGGAACACCGGUGGCGAAGGCGGCUUCCUGGACCGAUACUGACGCUGAGACGCGAAAGCGUGGGGAGCAAACAGG